AAUUUUUUACUAAACACACUCACACAAUUGUGCGAAAGCCGAUGAGGUAAUCCCAAGUGCUUGCACGAAAAAGGGCUGUUCUUUGUAAAAAGGCAUGGACCGAAGGGCUGGGUAAAACGGGGGCCAGCCGCCGCGGUAAUACCUGCAGCUCAAGGGGUGGCCGUUUUUAUUGGGCCUAAAACGCCCGUGGCCGUUUUAUUAAAUGCCGGGGGGAGCGGGGGGCUAAACUUUCGAAUUCCGGGGAGACCCCAACCUUUGUGGGAAAUUUUUUUUUCCGGGAGAGGGGAAUUCGGUAUUCCUAGGGGACCCCCUGGGGAAGGGGGCUGAAUGAACGGGGCUAAGGGAGGAACAACCCUGGGGGCGAAACCGGAUUAAUUCCCGGGUGGUCUGGGGGGAAAACGCUCCUUGUUUGAGGUUAGUGGGUUCCAAACCCAAUUAGGUGCGGAGAGAGGUUGUUAAAAAAACUACUUUGAAAGUACGGUCGCAGAACUGAAAUUUAAGGGAAUUGGGGGGGGUUACUCACCGGGUGGGCGGUGCCGCUAAGUUGGAUUCAACGCCGGAAAGUUCACCGGAGGCAGCCGUUUUUUAAAGGCAGGGUGGAGGCCCUGCCCCGAUUUUCCGAGAGGGGGUGCUGGGCCCCCUUCGGUUCAACCGCAAGCCCUCUUUGUAAUUCAGACACCGACGAGCCCCCAUCUUUAAUAGCACACUAGAAAUCCGCUUUCCGGCCCUUUGGGCCCCGCUGGGGAUAAGGUAAAAGGAAUCCCGGGUCCCCGCUCGUUCCCUUUCCCUGAAAACUCCGGGGUAACCGCCCCCUACAAAGAAGGGGAAAUGGCCUCCCCCCCCCAAAGGGAAAAGUUAUGCGGAACUCUCUUUCCACCUCCCGAUCGAGGUUUGUAAUUUUCCCCUCGGGAAGUGGGAUUCGGAAAAAUUUUGUGAAUAAAUUUUGGGGGGGAAAAGGGUCCUGUCUCCCUGCACCACCCAAAUUGGGGAUUUUUUUUUAACUUUUCUGUGGGUUUUUCCUUUUUUUAGAGGGUUUUUCCUUAGAGUGUUGGGG
rnacentral:rRNA from 1 species